rnacentral:rRNA from 1 species
UGCUGUGAGCUCGAUGAGUAGGGCGGGACACGUGGUAUCCUGUCUGAAUAUGGGGGGACCAUCCUCCAAGGCUAAAUACUCCUGACUGACCGAUAGUGAACCAGUACCGUGAGGGAAAGGCGAAAAGAACCCCGGCGAGGGGAGUGAAAAAGAACCUGAAACCGUGUACGUACAAGCAGUGGGAGCACCCUUCGGGGUGUGACUGCGUACCUUUUGUAUAAUGGGUCAGCGACUUAUAUUCUGUAGCAAGGUUAACCGAAUAGGGGAGCCGGAGGGAAACCGAGUCUUAAUUGGGCGUUAAGUUGCAGGGUAUAGACCCGAAACCCGGUGAUCUAGCCAUGGGCAGGUUGAAGGUUGGGUAACACUAACUGGAGGACCGAACCGACUAAUGUUGAAAAAUUAGCGGAUGACCUGUGGCUGGGGGUGAAAGGCCAAUCAAACCGGGAGAUAGCUGGUUCUCCCCGAAAGCUAUUUAGGUAGCGCCUCGUGAAUUCAUCUCCGGGGGUAGAGCACUGUUUCGGCUAGGGGGCCAUCCCGGCUUACCAACCCGAUGCAAACUGCGAAUACCGGAGAAUGUUAUCACGGGAGACACACGGCGGGUGCUAACGUCCGUCGUGAAGAGGGAAACAACCCAGACCGCCAGCUAAGGUCCCAAAGUCAUGGUUAAGUGGGAAACGAUGUGGGAAGGCCCAGACAGCCAGGAUGUUGGCUUAGAAGCAGCCAUCAUUUAAAGAAAGCGUAAUAGCUCACUGGUCGAGUCGGCCUGCGCGGAAGAUGUAACGGGGCUAAACCAU